UCUAUCUAUCUGUGUCACACUGCACGUUCUCAGGAGAGAAACUCAGGUUGGCCAACUUGGGUCAAGCGUCUACCCCCAUCAAUCAGCUGUGAACAGGGGAUGGGCUCAUACAGAAGAGGGGCCAGCCCCUGGAUAUCAGCAGCUGCACCGAGCGAGGGGGAGAUUGUUGGGAGAUGGACAAAGAUCACAAGAGGAAUCUUUCUGGAAGCGGGAAAUGAGGGCAGUGACGGGAGAGGAGAACCCCGUGCAGCACAGCUGGAAGACAAGUCAGCUGAAUUGAGUGGUGAGGAUGAGCGCAAAUGGAAUCACAGUUCCAAGACCUGUGGGAAUGACUUCCUCUGCUUCGUUUGCCCCUGCCCUCACCACUAAUCAGUUCCUGACAGAAGCCAUUUCUUUCACCUAAAAGAUCCAGAUCUCUAGAAGAGGCCGUCUGAUUGGCCCACACUUGGUCAUGGACCCCAUGCCUGGCAGUUACAGCAGGACUGAGAGCCAUGGGAGAGCCCCAGGGUCUAGGGCAAGAAGCAGGGGGAAAGGUGAAAUCAACAGAUACUCACGGUAAUGGGAUUUCAGAUGAGAACGUUGAUGCCAAAAGGCUGAGUGACCCAAGAUACACAGCCAGCCUGUGGACUACUAGGAAUAAAAUCCAGGUUCUCCAUCCAGCCUUCUUCUCCAGCAUGUGGCAGACCAAUUACUUCAUUCUCCUGGAACUCAGUGUCUUUAUCCCUAAAAUGGGAACAUGAUAUUACCUACUUUUCCUAAUUCAUUCGGAAUU